rnacentral:rRNA from 1 species
GAUGAACGCUAGCGGGAGGCCUAACACAUGCAAGCCGAGCGGUAUUGUUUCUUCGGAAAUGAGAGAGCGGCGUACGGGUGCGGAACACGUGUGCAACCUGCCUUUAUCUGGGGGAUAGCCUUUCGAAAGGAAGAUUAAUACUCCAUAAUAUAUUGAACGGCAUCGUUUAAUAUUGAAAGCUCCGGCGGAUAGAGAUGGGCACGCGCAAGAUUAGCUAGUUGGUGAGGUAACGGCUCACCAAGGCAAUGAUCUUUAGGGGGCCUGAGAGGGUGAUCCCCCACACUGGUACUGAGACACGGACCAGACUCCUACGGGAGGCAGCAGUGAGGAAUAUUGGUCAAUGGGUGCAAGCCUGAACCAGCCAUCCCGCGUGAAGGACGACUGCCCUAUGGGUUGUAAACUUCUUUUGUAUAGGGAUAAACCUUUCCACGUGUGGAAAGCUGAGGGUACUAUACGAAUAAGCACCGGCUAACUCCGUGCCAGCCGCCGCGGUAAUAC